AUGCCCCUUGAUUGUGUUUACUGCUUGGAACAAGAGUCUUGUUCUCAUCUAUUUUUUGAAUGUAUAGUUGCUAAACAUCUCUGGGCCCACAUUGAGGAAUAUUUCUCUAGUUAGAUUGGCUCAUCCUUCGAAUCUGUCGCCAGAUUCUGGAUUGCUACCAAAAAGUGCUCAGUUUUAAAUACUGAUAGCUCAGCUGUCCUUUGGUGCCUCUCGAAAUAUAGAAAUGCUAUGAUUUUCAGUAACACCUCCUGGAUUUCCAUUCCGCAGGUCUUGAGGUUGAUCAGGAACAUGGUGAGGAACUGGGCGAUUCUCUCCUCCGGAUCGAAUAAGGACAAGUUGAUGAGCUUCGUGGAAACCCUAACAAGAUCCCUCCAGAAACCGUUGGCGAUCACUUGUGGCUGA
rnacentral:rRNA from 1 species